ensembl:lncRNA
ACAGUGGGUGCUGGAAAGAUGUCUACAUCACAGCUACUCUUCACAGCUAAUUUGAUACAGAGAGAAAGCAAAGCAAAAUUUUAACUUGUUAGGCUUCAAUUAGAAACUGCAAUAUAAAGUACAGUACAAUAGUCAUCUGGUGGGAAAACCAUUGGAAAAAAAGCAAAUGAUGUAUUAUUAUAGGGUAUUCAAGCACACUUAAAAUGAGAGAGAUACUUCAGUGCUGCUGGUGAAGUGCUGGUUUCCUGAGUGACUCCUCCCAAAGUAAUUCUGCAUAGAUAUAGAUGUUUAGUCAGGCCUGAACUGGAGAUUAUAGCACAGCGAAAUCAGAGCUCAUCUGAACCCUGACCUGGAAGUUCUAAGGUGGAGAAGGAGACUUUUAUGUGCUUGGCAUUCAAAUGUGUUUUCCUCUUGUGGCCUCAACUGGUGUGAUCCUACUUCAACAAGAAGGCAUGAAACAGGGCUGUUUUUAUUUCCAUGUUUUUCUUUCUGUGCUUUCACCUGCCUGCCAGAGGCUGACAGAAUUUUGUCAGAAACGCCAGAAGAAUUCCCGGUAGGUCAGCGGACAAGCAUUCAGGCACAGUAAUAUCCCUUACCUACUUAUUAGAUAAUGUCUGCAGAGUGCUUCAAAAUCCUCUGACAAAAAGCAGCAUGAAUGUGGAAAACUGCUGUACCCUUAGGAUAUAUGUUUGUAUGUAUGUGCAUUAGGUGGGCAUAUGUGCACAUUGGAGCAUAUGCAAAUAUGUAUUCCCAUAUACAUUUGGAAACACUAAAUGUAUUUAGGAACUGGUAGCUGCUACAUACCAACACCUUCACGGGACAUAAUGAUAUCCUUCCAGAACUGCAAACAGGACCUUUUUUUUUUAAUAUAUUAUUUAUUAUUUUAUUAUUAUUUUCUUUUUCUGUACAGUCAGGAUUGCUGUUUUCAUUUUUCCCAAGAAAGCCAAUACAGAGCUCUAGCAGGAAAGAUAGAGGUCUUCAUCGUUUAAUCCCUGAAAACUUUGGAAAAAAUAAGCUGAUAAUAAAUUGAAAAAAAUCACUUGAAUAAGGAGCUAGUCUCAGCCCUAGAUGAUCUUAAGCGUUCAAAAAUAAUAAUAAUAAAAAUCCUUCCUCUUAAUUGCUUCCAUUACUUUCAUGCUCCACCUCUUAGCUGCCCAAUAAUUAACUGAUUAUAUAUCUGCUCAGUAGAUGUGUACUCAUAUAUCUCUGACCCAUAGUCAUCUGAACAUACAGUCAGCUAUUCUCCUGUUUAUUUAUUUAUUUACUUAAAGUAGACCUCAAGUGUUUAGAGGAUCCUAGUUUCAUUUGUAGGAUCUUUAGGAUCACCCUAGUUGUUACUGAGAUCUCAGAUUAAAAAUCACGAUGUGGAUAUGAGAUGGCAUUCUGUUUAGAACUAAUACCCAAGUAAGACUGUCACAUUUUGUUUCACUCUUGAAGAGUGAUCUUAAAGAGAUGUAAAAAAUAACUUGCAAUUCCUUUGUACUCAGCAAAGAUUGUCAAGUGUAUUUCAUAACCUUAUGGUAUUUUUCGUCCUCCUCUUAGAGUCAGUUGUAUUCAGUAACAGAUGUUGCUAUGUUUCUUUUGUAUCUACUUUGGAAAGUAGUCUUUCCUCCUUUGGGAUGACAAGCACUUUAUGAAUGUAAGCUUAUUGUUAUUUCUUUAUGAGUAUCUUUGACAGUUCACUGCUGUUACCCAUGGAACUUUGCCCUAGUAAUAAAGCUGUUAAAAGCACACUAUCAG